UGCGAGCGAACAGGGAAGAGCCCAGCACCGAAUCCCGCGGCCGAUAUCGGACGCCGGGAAAUGUGGUGUUAGGGAGGAUCCGUCUAUCCCGAGAUCGUGCGGUGCGUCCAAGUCCUUCUUGAACGGGGCCACAGCCCAUAGAGGGUGCCAGGCCCGUAGCGACCGCUGCCGAUCGCGGGAGGAUCUCUCCUCAGAGUCGGGUUGCUUGAGAGUGCAGCCCUAAGCGGGUGGUAAACUCCAUCUAAGGCUAAAUAUGACCACGAGACCGAUAGCGAACAAGUACCGUGAGGGAAAGUUGAAAAGCACUUUGAAGAGAGAGUUCAAGAGUACGUGAAACCGUUCAGGGGUAAACCUGAGAAGCCCGAAAGGUCGAAAGGGGAAAUUCAUUCGCGUUUCGGCCGUCGGCGUCGGAUGGUCGCGUGACGGAUGGCGUACGCGUCGUCCGCGCCUUCCGUUCGUCGAACCGGCGUCGAACGCGUGCACUUUUCCCCUAGUAGGACGUCGCGAUCCGUUGGGUGUCGGUCUACGGCCUACGGUGGAGACCGUGCGGUCGCUUCGCGGCGUAUCGCACGGACCCGUGGUGUCCCCCGGCCGACCCGCUCGACGGUAUACAGAUGGCGCGGGGCCGCUAACUUUUAGUUAGCGUUCGGC
rnacentral:rRNA from 1 species